rnacentral:rRNA from 1 species
GACGAACGCUGGCGGCGUGCUUAACACAUGCAAGUCGAACGGAAAGGCCCUGCUUUUGUGGGGUGCUCGAGUGGCGAACGGGUGAGUAACACGUGAGUAACCUGCCCUUGACUUUGGGAUAACUUCGGGAAACUGGGGCUAAUACCGGAUAGGAGCUCCUGCUGCAUGGUGGGGGUGGGAAAGUUUCGGCGGUUGGGGAUGGACUCGCGGCUUAUCAGCUUGUUGGUGGGGUAGUGGCUUACCAAGGCUUUGACGGGUAGCCGGGCUGAGAGGGUGACCGGCCAAAAUGGGACUGGGAUACGGCCCGGACUCCUACGGGAGGGAGCAGUGGGGGAGAUUGCACAAUGGGCGGAAGGCCGGAGCAAGAACGCCGCGUGCGGGAUGACGGCCUUCGGGUUGGAAACCGCUUUCGCCUGUGACGAAGCGUGAGUGACGGUAAUGGGUAAAGAAGCACCGGCUAACUACGUG